AGGACGAACGCUGGCGGCGUGCUUAACACAUGCAAGUCGAACGGUGAAGCCUUUCGGGGUGGAUCAGUGGCGAACGGGUGAGUAACACGUGGGCAAUCUGCCCUGCAUUCUGGGACAAGCCUUGGAAACGAGGUCUAAUACCGGAUACGACGCAUCCCCGCAUGGGGUGUGCGUGGAAAGCUCCGGCGAUGCAGGAUGAGCCCGCGGCCUAUCAGCUUGUUGGUGGGGUGAUGGCCUACCAAGGCGACG
rnacentral:rRNA from 1 species